rnacentral:rRNA from 1 species
UACUGUCUCCUCUUUCAAUCAGUGAAACUAAUCUCCCCGUGAAGAAGCGGGGAUACUUAUAUAAGACGAGAAGACCCUAUGGAGCUUCAAACCCAACUACACCCCUAACUCUAUAGCCCCUCAACCACACUGGCCCCUGUAUAGUUGAUUUUAGGUUGGGGCGACCACGGAGUAAAACAAAACCUCCAUAAUGAACGGGCCUACCCCCUUAUCUAAGAACCACACCCCCUAAGAAUUAGAAUACUAACAUAAAAUGAUCCAUUAUUUGAUUAAUGAACCAAGUUACCCUAGGGAUAACAGCGCAAUCCAUUUCGAGAGCCCAUAUCGACAAAUGGG